AUCACUUCUCGGCCUUUUGGCUAAGAUCAAGUGUAGUAUUCUUUAUUUUCUUUUUAAUGUUUUUUCUUUAUUUUUGAGAGACAGAGAGAGACGGUAC
rnacentral:snRNA from 1 species